rnacentral:rRNA from 1 species
GGCCAUGUUGGUUAACAGAUCCUCAUCUGCUGGACGUCUGGCGAUGAUCUUUAUCGGUUGUCGUCAGUUGCCAGCACGUUUACUUUGAGAAAAUUAGAGUGCUAAAAGCAGGCUCACGCCUAUAUAUAUUGCAUGGAAUAAUGAAAUAAGAUCUCGAUUUUAUUUCGUUGGUUUUAGAAAUUGAGAUAAUGAUUAAUAGGAUCAGAGGGGGGCGUACGUACUGUGGUGUGAGAGGUGAAAUUCUUGGAUCGCCACAGGACGAACAGCAGCGAAGGCGUUCGCCAAGAAUGUUUUCAUUAAUCAAGAACGAAAGUUUGAGGUUCGAAGACGAUUAGAUACCGUCCUAGUUCAAACCAUAAACGUUGCCAACUGUCUUUUAGAUGCGGUUAUUUAUAUGACUCAUCUGGCGGAUCUCGAGAAAUCUAAGUUUUUAGGUUCCGGGGGAAGUAUGGUUGCAAAGCUGAAACUUAAAAGAAUCGACGGAAGGACACACAAGAAGUGGAGCCUGUGGCCUAAUUUGACUCAACACGGGAAACCUUACUCGGCCAGGACACUUUUAGGAUUGACAGAUUGAGAGCUCUUUCUUGAUUAGGUGGGUGGUGGUGCAUGGUCGUUCGUAGUUCGUGGAGCGAUUUGUCUGAUUAAUUUCGAUAACGAACGAGACUCCGGCUUACUAAAUAGUCUAAAGUUCGAAGGGACUUUUCAAGACUUCUUAGCAGGAUAAGUGG